AGACACUACGUACGGCCCGCUCUGAUUAAACAAAUUAUCUUCACCAUAAUGAGAUUCCGCGCCAAGUCUACUUGGGUGCGAGUUAUAGCCUGCUUCCAUCUUUAAUCGUUUAGAGGACCUGUAACAAAGUUACAGACAUGUACAGAGAGAGAGAGAGAGAGAGAGAAGAGAGGGAGGGAGAAAUUCAUUCCUGAUGAAAAAUUACUGAUGAUAUUUUAUAAAUUUCAAUAACAAAUUAUAAAUUAUAAAACUUUUUCAACAAAAGAUUUAUGAACAUUAUAUUUAACUUGAUUAUUAAUAUUGUUGCAUUGUACUUAAUAGCCUAAAUACAUAAAAAAAUUAAUGAAA